CAGGAUUAGAUACCUGGUAGUCCACGCCGUAAACGAUGAGUGCUAGGUGUUAGGCCCUUUCCGGGGCUUAGUGCGCAGCUAACGCAUUAAGCACUCCGCCUGGGGAGUACGACCGCAAGGUUGAAACUCAAAGGAUUGACGGGGGCCCGCACAAGCGGUGGAGCAUGUGGUUUAAUUCGAAGCAACGCGAAGAACUUACCAGGUCUUGACAUCCCGAUGCUAUUCCUAGAGAUAGGAAGUUUCUUCGGAACAUCGUGACAGGUGGUGCAUGGUUGUCGUCAGCUCGUGUCGUGAGAUGUUGGGUUAAGUCCCGCACGAGCGCAACCCCUAUUGUUAGUUGCCAUCAUUAAGUUGGGCACUCUAGCGAGACUGCCGUAAUAAACCGGAGGAAGGUGGGGAUGACGUCAAAUCAUCAUGCCCCUUAUGACCUGGGCACACACGUGCUACAAUGGUUGGUACAACGAGUCGCGAGUCGGUGACGGCAAGCAAAUCUCUAAAGCCAAUCUCAGUUCGGAUUGUAGGCUGCAACUCGCCUACAUGAAGUCGGAAUCGCUGUAAUCGCGGAUCAGCACGCCGCGGUGAAUACGUUCCCGGGCCUUGCACACACCGCCCGU
rnacentral:rRNA from 1 species